GGGUGGAACCUUCUACACCACCACCCGCCCCACCCUGGCCUCUGUGUCGGGCACAGUCCUUCACCGCAUCGCGUCCGGCGCCCAGUACUGUCCCAGGGAUGAUAGGGGCAACUACGUCAUCGACAGGGACGGUCACGUGUUCAGAUAUGUUUUGAAUUUCCUCCGGACUUCCAAACUGACCACCCCUCAGGGAUACCGAGAGCUGGACCUUUUGAGGGAGGAAGGGCUGUAUUACGGGCUCGACAGACUGGUGCGUCCAUUUCCGAUUGGUUGUAAAUAAAGACCACACUGGAAGAAAGAUUCAGGAU